UAUAUGUAAUAUCAUUUUAUGCCCAGAUACUAGCAAAAUAUCACUGUCUUUCACAUGCACAGAAGAUUACAAAUACGAAGAUGCCUUAGGGGUCAUGAUACAUUUUACCAUGCAUCACACAGUACACAGUAAAAUUUGCUGAAAAUGUGAGACGAUAGCUAGCUAUAAACUUUGAAAUAUUAUUGUCUUUUAAAAUAUAAUUUCAGGAACUUCUUAUUUUUCCAUGAUAGGUCAGUGUAAGUGACAGUUCGCUGUACUGAAAACAAGAUUUAAUGAGAGUCUCCAUCCCCAAAGUAAAGCUUAAGCCAACAGUUGUGGGUACUGCCUGAUCCCUGAGUCUUCUGUCUGGAGUUCCUCCUUGCAGAUACCUUCUUUGGAGCCAUUUGCAGGCAGUUUCCAGGCUUCAAAACUGGCCCAUCCUAUCAGAACCCUUCUGCUCAGAGUUCCUUUCCCGCAAAGUAGUCUGCUUUCUCAGAUGUUAAUAGAUUCUGAUAGCUUAGGAUAUCAUCCUUUAAGACGCAUCCAUUAAAUGCAUGUGCCCUUUAAUAAAAUGCCUUAGCUGAGAGAAGUCGAUCUCCA
rnacentral:lncRNA from 1 species